rnacentral:rRNA from 1 species
AUCCUACGGGAGGCAGCAGUGGGGAAUAUUGCACAAUGGGCGCAAGCCUGAUGCAGCCAUGCCGCGUGUAUUGAAGAAGGCCUUCGGGUUGUAAAGUACUUUUCAGCAGUGAGGAAGGUGGGUAUGUUAAUAGCAUACUCAUUUGACGUUAGCUGCAGAAGAAGCACCGGCUAACUCCGUGCCAGCAGCCGCGGUAAUACGGAGGGUGCGAGCGUUAAUCGGAAUUACUGGGCGUAAAGCGCAUGCAGGUGGUUUGUUAAGUCAGAUGUGAAAGCCCGGGGCUCAACCUCGGAAUUGCAUUUGAAACUGGCAAACUAGAGUACUGUAGGAGGGGGUAGAAUUUCAGGUGUAGCGGUGAAAUGCGUAGAGAUCUGAAGGAAUACCGGUGGCGAAGGCCGGCCCCCUGGACAGAUACUGACACUCAGAUGACGAAAGCGUGGGGAGCAAACAGGAUUAGAUACCCUGGUAG